rnacentral:lncRNA from 1 species
UGAGGAUCCCAUAAAACCCAGCCCUGCACAGCUGAGUAAUGAAUACACAUCAUGUUCUACACAAGAGACACUGUGGCACUUGUUCUAAACAGGAGCACCAAGUCUUCAAUCAGCCAGUCCCAGCUCUGCAACUCAUGGCCUGUGUGAUCCUGGGUUGAAGGCUCCUCAGUCACGCAAGCCUCCUCAAGACUCUUCCGAACACACGGAACGUAUCUGGCGAACAUGUGCGUCUCCAGGAGCGGACAUGUCUGGAGAGCAGAGGCAGCUGUGGAGGAGCAGACACCAACCUUCCAGUGAUUGUCCAGUGCCUUUGCUGACUAGAUGUGUCUUCCACAAAUGUAAACGUGCUAAUGCUAAAACUUUCCUGGCACAAUUGUAAAGCUGAGAUGUAUGCCUCUCAGAAGAAUAAUGGAAGAAUGUGAGGACCUGCGCCUGUCAAACUAUAGCACAAUGGGAGAUAAAAGCCUCACAUUGUAUAUUAUAUCACUGCUGUGAUAUUACAAAACUGGAGAACAAUUUUACUAUCAAUAAGAGGCAGAUUAAAAGAAUUACUGUGCAUCUUAAUAAUGUUCAAUAAAAGGAAGUAGCUGUAAUACACUGAAGUAUUACUGUAGACUAAGAUAUAUUUAAAGUGAAAAGUUGAUUUUUAUUUUUUAUUUUUUGUACCAGGAAUUGAAUUCAGUGCCUUGCACUUGCCAGGCAGGCAAUGUGCCACUGAAUUAGAUCCCUGGCCUGAAAAGUUGAUUUCUUUUGAAAAACAUUUCAGUUUUAAGUACUUACAGGCUCACGAGUCAGUGAAAGAAAAGAGUAUAGUAAAUUUCACAUACACUUCUUGUGUACCCAGCUUCCUUCACUGGUACAUUUGAAAUAUGUGCUACUAGUAUACAUGGCAGAGUUCUAUUUGUAUAAAAUGAAGAACUAAAAUGUGGUAUGCAUGUGGACCAACUCCCCAUGAUAAUUAGGUAUCACAUUAUUAUGUGUCAUAAACAUUUGUUAGUAGAUUAAAAAAUAAUAAACUCCCCAGUAAAAAAGUGAAUAUGUCAAUUUGUUAGCAGUGUGUAUCUCUG